rnacentral:rRNA from 1 species
UUGAACGCUGGCGGCAGGCCUAACACAUGCAAGUCGCGCGGAUGAAGGGAGCUUGCUCCUGGAUUCAGCGGCGGACGGGUGAGUAAUGCCUAGGAAUCUGCCUGGUAGUGGGGGAUAACGUCCGGAAACGGGCGCUAAUACCGCAUACGUCCUGAGGGAGAAAGUGGGGGAUCUUCGGACCUCACGCUAUCAGAUGAGCCUAGGUCGGAUUAGCUAGUAGGUGGGGUAAAGGCCUACCAAGGCGACGAUCCGUAACUGGUCUGAGAGGAUGAUCAGUCACACUGGAACUGAGACACGGUCCAGACUCCUACGGGAGGCAGCAGUGGGGAAUAUUGGACAAUGGGCGAAAGCCUGAUCCAGCCAUGCCGCGUGUGUGAAGAAGGUCUUCGGAUUGUAAAGCACUUUAAGUUGGGAGGAAGGGCAGUAAGUUAAUACCUUGCUGUUUUGACGUUACCAACAGAAUAAGCACCGGCUAACUUCGUG